rnacentral:rRNA from 1 species
AUUGAACGCUGGCGGCAUGCCUUACACAUGCAAGUCGAACGGUAACGCGGGGCAACCUGGCGACGAGUGGCGAACGGGUGAGUAAUGCAUCGGAACGUGCCCAGUAGUGGGGGAUAGCCCGGCGAAAGCCGGAUUAAUACCGCAUACGACCUAUGGGUGAAAGCGGGGGACCGUAAGGCCUCGCGCUAUUUGAGCGGCCGAUGUCAGAUUAGGUUGUUGGUGGGGUAAAAGCCCACCAAGCCGACGAUCUGUAGCUGGUCUGAGAGGACGACCAGCCACACUGGGACUGAGACACGGCCCAGACUCCUACGGGAGGCAGCAGUGGGGAAUUUUGGACAAUGGGCGCAAGCCUGAUCCAGCCAUGCCGCGUGCGGGAAGAAGGCCUUCGGGUUGUAAACCGCUUUUGUCAGGGAAGAAAUCCUUUGGGUUAAUACCUCGGAGGGAUGACGGUACCUGAAGAAUAAGCACCGGCUAACUACGUGCCAGCAGCCGCCGCGGUAA